GGGUUGUGAGGUUAAGCGACUAAGCGUACACGGUGGAUGCCCUGGCAGUCAGAGGCGAUGAAGGACGUGCUAAUCUGCGAUAAGCGUCGGUAAGGUGAUAUGAACCGUUAUAACCGGCGAUUUCCGAAUGGGGAAACCCAGUGUGUUUCGACACACUAUCAUUAACUGAAUCCAUAGGUUAAUGAGGCGAACCGGGGGAACUGAAACAUCUAAGUACCCCGAGGAAAAGAAAUCAACCGAGAUUCCCCCAGUAGCGGCGAGCGAACGGGGAGCAGCCCAGAGCCUGAAUCAGUGUGUGUGUUAGUGGAAGCGUCUGGAAAGGCGCGCGAUACAGGGUGACAGCCCCGUACACAAAAAUGCACAUGCUGUGAGCUCGAUGAGUAGGGCGGGACACGUGGUAUCCUGUCUGAAUAUGGGGGGACCAUCCUCCAAGGCUAAAUACUCCUGACUGACCGAUAGUGAACCAGUACCGUGAGGGAAAGGCGAAAAGAACCCCGGCGAGGGGAGUGAAAAAGAACCUGAAACCGUGUACGUACAAGCAGUGGGAGCACGCUUAGGCGUGUGACUGCGUACCUUUUGUAUAAUGGGUCAGCGACUUAUAUUCUGUAGCAAGGUUAACCGAAUAGGGGAGCCGAAGGGAAACCGAGUCUUAACUGGGCGUUAAGUUGCAGGGUAUAGACCCGAAACCCGGUGAUCUAGCCAUGGGCAGGUUGAAGGUUGGGUAACACUAACUGGAGGACCGAACCGACUAAUGUUGAAAAAUUAGCGGAUGACUUGUGGCUGGGGGUGAAAGGCCAAUCAAACCGGGAGAUAGCUGGUUCUCCCCGAAAGCUAUUUAGGUAGCGCCUCGUGAAUUCAUCUCCGGGGGUAGAGCACUGUUUCGGCAAGGGGGUCAUCCCGACUUACCAACCCGAUGCAAACUGCGAAUACCGGAGAAUGUUAUCACGGGAGACACACGGCGGGUGCUAACGUCCGUCGUGAAGAGGGAAACAACCCAGACCGCCAGCUAAGGUCCCAAAGUCAUGGUUAAGUGGGAAACGAUGUGGGAAGGCCCAGACAGCCAGGAUGUUGGCUUAGAAGCAGCCAUCAUUUAAAGAAAGCGUAAUAGCUCACUGGUCGAGUCGGCCUGCGCGGAAGAUGUAACGGGGCUAAACCAUGCACCGAAGCUGCGGCAGCGACGCUGAUGCGUUGUUGGGUAGGGGAGCGUUCUGUAAGCCUGCGAAGGUGUGCUGUGAGGCAUGCUGGAGGUAUCAGAAGUGCGAAUGCUGACAUAAGUAACGAUAAAGCGGGUGAAAAGCCCGCUCGCCGGAAGACCAAGGGUUCCUGUCCAACGUUAAUCGGGGCAGGGUGAGUCGACCCCUAAGGCGAGGCCGAAAGGCGUAGUCGAUGGGAAACAGGUUAAUAUUCCUGUACUUGGUGUUACUGCGAAGGGGGGACGGAGAAGGCUAUGUUGGCCGGGCGACGGUUGUCCCGGUUUAAGCGUGUAGGCUGGUUUUCCAGGCAAAUCCGGAAAAUCAAGGCUGAGGCGUGAUGACGAGGCACUACGGUGCUGAAGCAACAAAUGCCCUGCUUCCAGGAAAAGCCUCUAAGCAUCAGGUAACAUCAAAUCGUACCCCAAACCGACACAGGUGGUCAGGUAGAGAAUACCAAGGCGCUUGAGAGAACUCGGGUGAAGGAACUAGGCAAAAUGGUGCCGUAACUUCGGGAGAAGGCACGCUGAUAUGUAGGUGAAGUCCCUUGCGGAUGGAGCUGAAAUCAGUCGAAGAUACCAGCUGGCUGCAACUGUUUAUUAAAAACACAGCACUGUGCAAACACGAAAGUGGACGUAUACGGUGUGACGCCUGCCCGGUGCCGGAAGGUUAAUUGAUGGGGUCAGCGCAAGCGAAGCUCUUGAUCGAAGCCCCGGUAAACGGCGGCCGUAACUAUAACGGUCCUAAGGUAGCGAAAUUCCUUGUCGGGUAAGUUCCGACCUGCACGAAUGGCGUAAUGAUGGCCAGGCUGUCUCCACCCGAGACUCAGUGAAAUUGAACUCGCUGUGAAGAUGCAGUGUACCCGCGGCAAGACGGAAAGACCCCGUGAACCUUUACUAUAGCUUGACACUGAACAUUGAGCCUUGAUGUGUAGGAUAGGUGGGAGGCUUGGAAGUGUGGACGCCAGUCUGCAUGGAGCCGACCUUGAAAUACCACCCUUUAAUGUUUGAUGUUCUAACGUUGACCCGUAAUCCGGGUUGCGGACAGUGUCUGGUGGGUAGUUUGACUGGGGCGGUCUCCUCCUAAAGAGUAACGGAGGAGCACGAAGGUUGGCUAAUCCUGGUCGGACAUCAGGAGGUUAGUGCAAUGGCAUAAGCCAGCUUGACUGCGAGCGUGACGGCGCGAGCAGGUGCGAAAGCAGGUCAUAGUGAUCCGGUGGUUCUGAAUGGAAGGGCCAUCGCUCAACGGAUAAAAGGUACUCCGGGGAUAACAGGCUGAUACCGCCCAAGAGUUCAUAUCGACGGCGGUGUUUGGCACCUCGAUGUCGGCUCAUCACAUCCUGGGGCUGAAGUAGGUCCCAAGGGUAUGGCUGUUCGCCAUUUAAAGUGGUACGCGAGCUGGGUUUAGAACGUCGUGAGACAGUUCGGUCCCUAUCUGCCGUGGGCGCUGGAGAACUGAGGGGGGCUGCUCCUAGUACGAGAGGACCGGAGUGGACGCAUCACUGGUGUUCGGGUUGUCAUGCCAAUGGCACUGCCCGGUAGCUAAAUGCGGAAGAGAUAAGUGCUGAAAGCAUCUAAGCACGAAACUUGCCCCGAGAUGAGUUCUCCCUGACCCUUUAAGGGUCCUGAAGGAACGUUGAAGACGACGACGUUGAUAGGCCGGGUGUGUAAGCGCAGCGAUGCGUUGAGCUAACCGGUACUAAUGAACCGU
rnacentral:rRNA from 1 species